rnacentral:rRNA from 1 species
GUGAGGAGGAAGCCCCGGCUAACUACGUGCCAGCAGCCGCGGUAAAACGUAGGGGGCGAGCGUUGUCCGGAAUUACUGGGCGUAAAGGGCGCGUAGGCGGUUAUCCAAGUCAGGGGUGAAAACUCUGGGCUCAACUCAGAGCCUGCCUCUGAAACUGGGUGACUUGAGGGCAGGAGAGGGGAGUGGAAUUCCCAGUGUAGCGGUGAAAUGCGUAGAUAUUGGGAGGAACACCAGUGGCGAAGGCGGCUCUCUGGCCUAACCCUGACGCUGAGGCGCGAAAGCGUGGGGAUCAAACAGGAUUAGAUACCCUGGUAGUCCACGCCGUAAACGAUGGGUGCUAGGUGUAGGAGGUAUCGACCCCUUCUGUGCCGUAGUUAACACAAUAAGCACCCCGCCUGGGGAGUACGGCCGCAAGGUUGAAACUCAAAGGAAUUGACGGGGGCCCGCACAAGCGGUGGAGCAUGUGGUUUAAUUCGACGCAACGCGAAGAACCUUACCAGGGUUUGACAUAGCAGUGGUAGGGAAGAGAAAUCGGACCGACCCUUCGGGGAGCUGUUACAGGUGUUGCAUGGCUGUCGUCAGCUCGUGUCGUGAGAUGUUCGGUUAAGUCCGCUAACGAGCGCAACCCGCGUUGUGUGUUAUAUGUGUCACACAAUACCGCCGGUAUUAAGUCGGAGGAAGGUGCGGAUGACGUCAAGUCAGCAUGACCUUUAUAUCCAGGGCUACACACACGCUACAAUGGACAGUACAACAGGUUGCCAAGCCGCGAGGCGGAGCCAAUCCUCUAAAGCUGUCCUCAGUUCAGAUUGCAGGCUGAAACUCGCCUGCAUGAAGUUGGAGUUGCUAGUAACCGCAGGUCAGCUAUACUGCGGUGAAUACGUUCCCGGGGAUUGCACACACCGCCCGUA